rnacentral:rRNA from 1 species
GAUGAACGCUGGCGGCGCGCCUAACACAUGCAAGUCGAACGGUUAAAGCACCUUUUAGGUGUGUAUAAAGUGGCGAACGGCUGAGUAACACGUGGGCAACCUGCCCUCCUCUUGGGGAUAGCCUCGGGAAACCGAGGAUAAUACCCGAUACUUCAAUGUGGCCGCAUGACGACAUUGAGAAAGCUUUUGCGGAGAAGGAUGGGCCCGCGGCCUGCUAGCUUGUUGGUGGGGUAGAGGCCUACCAAGGCAAUGAUGGGUAGCUGGGUUGAGAGACCGACCAGCCAGAUUGGGACUGAGACACGGCCCAGACUCCUACGGGAGGCAGCAGUGGGGAAUCUUGCACAAUGGGCGAAAGCCUGAUGCAGCGACGCCGCGUGCGGGACGAAGGCCUUCGGGUUGUAAACCGCUUUCAGCAGGGACGAGGCGAUAAGUGACGGUACCUGCAGAAGAAGCCCCGGCUAACUACGUG